AGAAAAUGAAUGGAUAGACUGACAUUUGUUUAAAUACUUCUAGAAAUCUGAGCUGUUGGUGUGGUAAUAAUAUUAGAGCUAGCAAUCUUUCUCACUGAAUCUCUACUGUGAGUCAUGUUACCUGGGAUUAAUUCUAUGUUUACCUGACAGCCUGGACAAAUGCGCUCUGUGAAGGAUGUAAAUCAAAUCAGAUUUUAACUGCUUACAUUUAAGGAGCCUGUUCAUAUUUAAUUAACAGUUCGCCACAGUCGCUGUCCACAUGGGUCAGUGGGACCAAGCAGCACUCUGCCAAUGUGUGGACUCUGACCAGCAACAUCCAGCAAGUCCCAGGCAACGUUUUCUAUCUCCCAGCUGGAGUUUUUUUGUUUGUCUGUGACUGGAGAGUCAGAUUUUUGUUGAGGCUGGAGGAACAGCCUCACACUUGCAGAGGUUAAUACACGCUACUGAUCCCUGAUGGGAGAAUCAUCACCUCUGCCAACAAAGAAGCCUGGUGGAUGUUUGUUUGCAGUCUAAUGAUCAUCAUGCUCUGCAUCUUCAAAGUUUGUCUCUUGAUUAUUAUUCAUACACAGUAAUGUGAAUUAUGCUUAUAUCUAGUAUAACUGGACCAACCUGGUGCUCUUCAUUUAUGGAGGCUGUUGAGUCUGAAUGUUGGAUGUUGUGUAUCUCUUGUUCUCUGGGCUUUGUUGUCCUCAGUCUGUUUGCAGGAUCAGAAAACAAAACCAGGAUGACCGUAAAUGUUUCUUCUCCAAUUGGAUGAUGAUAAGACCGUGACACGGUAUGCCACCUUUAGUCUUGUGAUGAAGCAAAGCUCAGGACGAAGUGUGAUUAAAUGGUACCCACAUGUGUGCUGCUGAGAAGGAUGUACAAGGGCACCUGCAGCCAAAUCCAAGCCUCCUCAGCAACUUCAAGUCUGUCAGCGUGCUGAGGUCACAGAAACAAGAAAAGAAACUUGACUUCAGAGUGUUGUUUACAGUUUUCUGUCAUCAUGAUCUCCCCUGA